CUGCCCAGUGACACCCCAGUUAAACGGCCGCGGUAAUUUGACCGUGCAAAGGUAGCACAAUCACUUGUUCUUUAAAUAAGGACUAGAAUGAACGGCUUCACGAGGGCUAUACUGUCUCCCCUCUCUAAUCAGUGAAACUGAUCUCCUCGUGAAGAAGCGAGGAUACCCCGAUAAGACGAGAAGACCCCAUGAAGCUUUAAACUUGUAACAACCCCCCCAUCUAAGUACACCAGUAAUAGAAAGAAAUGUCUACAAGUCUUUCGGCUGGGGCGACCCUGGAGGAAAACUCAACCUUCGCGAUGAACGGACCCACUCCUAAUCAAAGAGCUACAACUCAAAGAAUCAAUAAACUGACACAUUGACCCAAAUAUUUGAUCAACGAACCAAGUUACACUGGGGAUAACAGCGCAAUCCAUUUCUAGAGCCCCCAUCGACAAAUGGGCUUACGACCUCGAUGUUGGAUCAGGGUAUCCCAGUGGUGCAGCCGCUACUAAAGGUUCGUUUGUUCAACGAUUAAAACCCU
rnacentral:rRNA from 1 species